rnacentral:rRNA from 1 species
UACGUAGGGUGCAAGCGUUGUCCGGAAUUAUUGGGCGUAAAGAGCUCGUAGGCGGUUUGUCGCGUCGAAUGUGAAAACCCGGGGCUCAACCCCGGGCCUGCAUUCGAUACGGGCAGACUAGAGUUCGGUAGGGGAGUCUGGAAUUCCUGGUGUAGUGGUGAAAUGCGUAGAUAUCGGGAGGAAUACCAGUGGCGAAGGCGGCUGCCUGGCCUGUUCUUGACGCUGAGGCGCGAAAGCUGGGGGAGCAAACGGG